AUAUUAUUACCUUUUAAUGCUUGAGGAUACGAUUUUAUUUAUUUAUUUACCCACACUCGGAAAGUUCAUGCAGAAAACAGCCAAAUAAUACAAGAAGAAGAAGAAGAAGAGGAACAACAACAACAACAACAACAACAACAACGGUGGACAGGUGGGGAGGGAAAGGGUAAAACGUCAAGCUACAGGCAGUCAAAACAAGUGACCACAGAGAUGUGACUGUCGCGGAGGGAGUCUUAUGACGAUGCACAAAAAGAUAACCAAGAAGUUCUCCUUGGAUCCUGGCGGGAUUAGAUAUCUCCUACCAUUUGUUGCCUAGUCUCCCAUCUUCCCAUUGCUCAAGCUGCCUACAUCUCCUCGGCAUAACCUUCCACCAACUUAAGGGGCCACGUCAUUUUGGAUAAAGAGGGAUGAGAAUGUGGCCACUUUACCUCCCUGCAAACUUGCUGUCAUCCCUGUAGAAAACUGAUUCCUUGGCUGCCUGUGACCAAUGAAACAACCAGGAACAGAUAACCUCCUUCAUCCACAUUGUGG